AUCUAGCUGAUGAGUCCCAAAUAGAACGGGAAGUGCAUCUUAGAU
rnacentral:hammerhead_ribozyme from 1 species